rnacentral:rRNA from 1 species
UGGGGGAUAUUGCACAAUGGGCGAAAGCCUGAUGCAGCGACGCCGCGUGGGGGAUGAAGGCCUUCGGGUUGUAAACUUCUUUUGCUCUGAACAAGGCAUGCCUUUGGGGUGUGUUGAGUGUAGGGGUUGAUUAGCGCCGGCUAACUACGUGCCAGCAGCCGCGGUAAUACGUAGGGCGCGAGCGUUGUCCGGAAUUAUUGGGCGUAAAGGGCUUGUAGGUGGCUGGUUGCGUCUGUCGUGAAAGCUCAUGGCUUAACUGUGGGUUUGCGGUGGGUACGGGCUGGCUUGAGUGCAGUAAGGGAGGCGGGAAUUCCUGGUGUAGCGGUGGAAUGCGCAGAUAUCAGGAGGAAUACCGGUGGCGAAGGCGGGUCUCUGGGCUGUUACUGACGCUGAGGAGCGAAAGCGUGGGGAGCGAACAGG